rnacentral:lncRNA from 1 species
CGCUAUUACCACCACUCGAUCCGUCGGCGCAUAAUCCGAAACUCUCAAACCACAAGGUCGUCCUCAAAACAUCCUGACUUCACUCUCACAAUUAGCUACUCACAAUGCCCAGAGAGUUACUCCAUCAGUUCUACCUCUGUCUCGAGCCUAACUCUCGGCUCGCAACUAACCACUCGCCAACACAAUCCAAUCACACCUAUCCAUUUGGUAGGCGAU